rnacentral:rRNA from 1 species
GAGUUUGAUCCUGGCUCAGGAUGAACGCUGGCGGCGUGCCUAACACAUGCAAGUCGAACGGGAAUCUUCGGAUUCUAGUGGCGGACGGGUGAGUAACGCGUAAGAAUCUAACUUCAGGACGGGGACAACAGUUGGAAACGACUGCUAAUACCCGAUGUGCCGCAAGGUGAAACCUAAUUGGCCUGGAGAAGAGCUUGCGUCUGAUUAGCUAGUUGGUGGGGUAAGGGCCUACCAAGGCGACGAUCAGUAGCUGGUCUGAGAGGAUGAGCAGCCACACUGGGACUGAGACACGGCCCAGACUCCUACGGGAGGCAGCAGUGGGGAAUUUUCCGCAAUGGGCGAAAGCCUGACGGAGCAACGCCGCGUGAGGGAGGAAGGUCUUUGGAUUGUAAACCUCUUUUCUCAAGGAAGAAGUUCUGACGGUACUUGAGGAAUCAGCCUCGGCUAACUCCGUGCCAGCAGCCGCGGUAAUACGGGGGAGGCAAGCGUUAUCCGGAAUUAUUGGGCGUAAAGCGUCCGCAGGUGGUCAGCCAAGUCUGCUGUCAAAUCAGGUUGCUUAACGACCUAAAGGCGGUGGAAACUGGCAGACUAGAGAGCAGUAGGGGUAGCAGGAAUUCCCAGUGUAGCGGUGAAAUGCGUAGAGAUUGGGAAGAACAUCGGUGGCGAAAGCGUGCUACUGGGCUGUAUCUGACACUCAGGGACGAAAGCUAGGGGAGCGAAAGGGAUUAGAUACCCCUGUAGUCCUAGCCGUAAACGAUGGAUACUAGGCGUGGCUUGUAUCGACCCGAGCCGUGCCGAAGCUAACGCGUUAAGUAUCCCGCCUGGGGAGUACGCACGCAAGUGUGAAACUCAAAGGAAUUGACGGGGGCCCGCACAAAGCGGGGGGAGUAUGGGGUUUAAUUCCA